rnacentral:lncRNA from 1 species
GUGACUUGCCCUAAGUCACACAGCUGGCAAGCGGCGGAGUCGGGAUUCGAACCCAUGAACUCCGACUCCCAAGGCCGGGCUCUUUCCACUGUACCACGCUGCUUCUCCAAGGGAAGGCAACCCUGAUGCGGUUUGGGGCCUAAUAACAGUAAUAAUAAUUAUGGUACUUGUUAAGUGUGCCAAGCACUGUUCUAAGCGCUGGGGUAGAUACCAGGUAAUCAGGCUGGACACAGUUAGAUACCACGUGAUCAGCGUGGACACAGUCCCUGUCCCUCACUGGGCUCACACUCUUAAUCUCCAUUUUACAGAUGAGGUAACUGAGACCCAGAGAAGCUGAGUGACUUGUCCAAGGUCACCCAACAGACAUGUGGCAGUGUCGGGAUUAGAAUCCACGUCCUCUGACUUCCAGACCUGGGCUCUACCCACUAAGCCGUGCUGCUUCUCUAGUAGAGCGGAGUCCUGAACACAGGCCUCUGGACUUCCCCACGAGGAACCCUGGGCAUCAAAAAACCGACGGCCUGGUUUGCGUGACCCUGCGGUGACCUCAUGUUCUCCCCUACCCACGUCAACAGUGAGUGUGGCGCAUUUUCCUGGAGACGGGAGCUUCGAAAAUCAUCGGUAUUUGGGAAGUCCAAAGCUGGGGGUGAUGUCCGUUCAGGAAUCCAAGAGGCCUGCUCUCUUGUGGGUACCAUCCUUCUGCGAUCUGGUUCUUCUGGAUGGAUUUCCAGGCUGCAGGAAGGCCCCCAGACUCUGUGCGGCCGGGGGGGAAUUGGAGCUGGAGACCAACAGCGACAGGCCAAUCGUCCCACAUCCGGAACGGCAGAUUGGGUGAUCCCCCGCUCCUGGAGCAGAGGACCGAAGGAUGGCCUGCACCCAAAGAAGCAUCCUGGGGGACUGCCCUUACCCGUAUCGGUGGAUUGGGAAACCUCCUGCACCCAGAAUGUCGACCCCAUCAGGAAGACCUCUCCACAUAAUCCCUCUUCCCACCGAUGACCCAAUCAGGAAGACACCCCCGAGACAAGCCAGGCUCUGGACGACCACCCUCCGCUCGACCACCGGCCGGGCGACCUCUCGUGGCUCCUGGUCCAGGUCAGUGGUUGGCCAGCCCCGGCCCCCGACAACUCCCCCAACCACUCCUGCCCCACGAGAGUCGCCCACGGCUGGUCACAUGCUCGGGGGGGGCGUUAGGCUGGUACCUCCUGGGGAAACGGGCCCUCUUAGGAAGUAGUAGGAACCAGGCCGAGUGGGUUCUGGGG